rnacentral:rRNA from 1 species
GACCUACCUCUUGCUGGGGAACAACCUCGGGAAACCGAAGCUAAUUCCGCAUAAGUCCUCCGAAUUGCGGUUCGGAGGAGAAAGGUGGCCUCUCCAUGGAAGCUAUCGGUGAGAGAUGGGCCUGCGUAUCAUUAGCCUGUUGGUAGGGUAAUGGCCUACCAAGGCUACGAUGGUUAGCUGGUCUGAGAGGAUGAUCAGCCACACUGGAACUGAGACACGGUCCAG